GAUGAACGCUGGCGGCGUGCCUAAUACAUGCAAGUCGAGCGAACGGACGAGAAGCUUGCUUCUCUGAUGUUAGCGGCGGACGGGUGAGUAACACGUGGAUAACCUACCUAUAAGACUGGGAUAACUUCGGGAAACCGUAGCUAAUACCGGAUAAUAUUUUGAACCGCAUGGUUCAAAAGUGAAAGACGGUCUUGCUGUCACUUAUAGAUGGAUCCGCGCUGCAUUAGCUAGUUGGUAAGGUAACGGCUUACCAAGGCAACGAUGCAUAGCCGACCUGAGAGGGGGAUCGGCCACACUGGAACUGAGACACGGUCCAGACUCCUACGGGAGGCAGCAGUAGGGAAUCUUCCGCAAUGGGCGAAAGCCUGACGGAGCAACGCCGCGUGAGUGAUGAAGGUCUUCGGAUCGUAAAACUCUGUUAUUAGGGAAGAACAUAUGUGUAAGUAACUGUGCACAUCUUGACGGUACCUAAGCAGAAAGCCACGGCUAACUACGU
rnacentral:rRNA from 1 species